rnacentral:sRNA from 1 species
AACAGUGCGCGCGCGAAAUUUAUUUUUCGCUGCACUGAGCAGACGGGUCGGCACUUUACACAAACACUUUUGAUAAUCUAGGAUUUGAAUGAAAGGUCAUUUUUAUGAUGGAUCCGACUGGUAAUGCGGUCGUCUAAAUCUAAAAAACAACUUUUGGCAACGGAUCUCUUGGUUCUCCCAUCGAUGAAGAACGCAGCGAAAUGCGAUAAGUAAUGUGAAUUGCAGAAGUGAAUCAUCGAAUCUUUGAACGCACCUUGCGCUCCCGGGAGAUCUAAUCUGGGGAGCAUGCCUGUUUGAGGGCCGCGAAUUGUUUCAAACGACAGCUUUUUUCAGUAAGAGCUGGCGGAUCGGUAUUGAGGGUCUUUGCCAUUUACCGUGGCUCCCUCGAAAUGCAUUAGCGCAUCCAUUUGAUAGGCGAAAGACGGACGAAAGCUCGAUUUUUCGCCCUCUCUUCCCUGCCGGGUUUUGAUAAUAUCAGGACUUCGGAGGCGGAGAAAGGGUUAGAGCUGGACGCAACGACUUUUGCUGGUUGGAGUGCUUCUGAACCCCGCCCUUCUUUUUAGAAGAAGGGAUAUUUUCAAUUCAUCGGCCUCAGAUU